rnacentral:lncRNA from 1 species
CUUAGCGCUAUGUGAGCCAUGUGCUGUUACCAUCCAGCAAGCAGCUCCCAUCCGGUCUCCUUCUUGCAUGAACGGUCAUUUUCUUCCAAAAUAUUCCAAUGACCCAAGACACCGUGCUGAUUAACCCCUUCCUGAAGGGUUUGGAUCCCAACAGUCUCCAUUAUUGUGCCUAGAUGGACUACUCAGUAACAGAUAAUGUUUUAUUAUUCUUAUUUUUCAGAUGCUUUCUUCUCAGAAAGGGCUUUUUUUUUUUUUUUUUUUUUUUUUUUUUGAGAUCAACCAAAGGCUGGAAAAAAGAUCUGGGGAAGGGAAAUGAUGGGAUACCAUUAUUAAUUUGGAGGGGGGGGAAGACAUAUAAAAUUCAUUCAUCACUCCCAGCGCUCUCUAAAGAGAGCUAUCAUGGCUUGCCCACAGGCCUAAUAAUCUCCAUCAUUUUGAAAGGGAAACAUCCCGCAAGGAGAAGAGUCAGGGAAGCUGGAGGUAUUGAACAAGCUGAUCUAUAAAGAUAAUUUGUUCCAUGUUUCUGCACUUUUGACUUGCUCAAUAGUUUGACUCAUGAGAGCAGAAUAAUGCCAAGGUGUUAUGGACUGGAAGUACAGCUCCCUGCAGAUAGGGUCUUGGCUGGGGCUUGAGCAAUUACCUAAGAGGAGCAGCCUGCACCUGAAGACAAAGCUUCCCGUGGAAUCAUGCUCCAAUGAUCAGCUCCAUCUGAGGCGCUCCCUCCCCGUGGCCUCACCUCAGCGGGUAGCACACAAGACCACGUGCAUGCACACAAACUGCAGAGAGGAAGAAGAACAGGGUGAGAAAUGCCUCUUUGCAGUCCUCUCCGUCUGCUCCCCUCUCCACUCCACACACCCAGCCAGUGGGUUUCUCAUGGAGAAGUUGAAUGUGAAGGCUGGGGGCAGGACAGGACAGGAAAGAAGAGGAAAGGCAAUCCCAGUUUCAGGCAGCGAUGUCACAGGUGGAGCCCUGUCUCAUGCACAAUCAGGCACAUGACUGUGCCGAUGUACCAAUUAUCCUUUAUAAAUAGCUGCCAGCAGAUGUUCAGCCGGCAAAUGUCUGUGUCAGUUGAAGCCAUUACAGCUCACAGAUGCUUGGCGAAGCCCUCCAGCCAAAGAUUACCUCUCCUGCAGCUCUACUGGCAGUCAGCUCUGCUUCAGGCAAAAGUCAGCUGGAUUAGCUCAUACCACCUGGAUCAGCUGCUCAAGCAGUGCUGGCUAACUGCUGCAGCAGGGAACCUUUCUAUUCAGGCAAUCUCCAAAAGGGGGGAGAGCAAGAACUGCAGUCCAGUGAAGCCUUCUGAUUUUAGCCAUUGGAAAAGAAACAAAGCAAUCAGCAA